rnacentral:rRNA from 1 species
UACGGGGGGGGCAAGCGUUGUUCGGAAUUACUGGGCGUAAAGGGCUCGUAGGUGGCCAACUAAGUCGGACGUGAAAUCCCUCGGCUUAACCGGGGAACUGCGUCCGAUACUGGUUGGCUUGAGUUUGGGAGAGGGAUGCGGAAUUCCAGGUGUAGCGGUGAAAUGCGUAGAUAUCUGGAGGAACACCGGUGGCGAAGGCGGCAUCCUGGACCAACACUGACACUGAGGAGCGAAAGCUAGGGGAGCAAACGGG